UACGAAGGGGGGCAAGCGUUGUCCGGAUUUAUUGGGCGUAAAGAGCGUGUAGGCGGCCAUUCAGGUCAGCUGUGAAAACUCGAGGCUCACCUCGAGACGUCGGGUUGAAACCGUUUGGCUAGAGUCCGGAAGAGGAGAGUGGAAUUCCCGGUGUAGCGGUGAAAUGCGCAGAUAUCAGGAGGAACACCGAUGGCGAAGGCAGGUCUCUGGGCACUAACUGACGUGAGGAGCGAAAGCAUGGGGAGCGAACAGG
rnacentral:rRNA from 1 species